rnacentral:rRNA from 1 species
GACGAACGCUGGCGGCGUGCUUAACACAUGCAAGUCGAACGGAAAGGCCCUGCUUUUGUGGGGUGCUCGAGUGGCGAACGGGUGAGUAACACGUGAGUAACCUGCCCUUGACUUUGGGAUAACUUCAGGAAACUGGGGCUAAUACCGGAUAGGAGCUCCUGCUGCAUGGUGGGGGUUGGAAAGUUUCGGCGGUUGGGGAUGGACUCGCGGCUUAUCAGCUUGUUGGUGGGGUAGUGGCUUUCCAAGGCUUUGACGGGUAGCCGGCCUGAGAGGGUGACCGGCCACAUUGGGACUGAGAUACGGCCCAGACUCCUACGGGAGGCAGCAGUGGGGAAUAUUGCACAAUGGGCGGAAGCCUGAUGCAGCAACGCCGCGUGCGGGAUGACGGCCUUCGGGUUGUAAACCGCUUUCGCCUGUGACGAAGCGUGAGUGACGGUAGUGGGGAAAGAAGCACCGGCUAACUACGU